GGAAUAUUGGUCAAUGGGCGCAAGCCUGAACCAGCCAUGCCGCGUGCAGGAUGACGGUCCUAUGGAUUGUAAACUGCUUUUGUACGGGAAGAAACACUCCUACGUGUAGGGGCUUGACGGUACCGUAAGAAUAAGGAUCGGCUAACUCCGUGCCAGCAGCCGCGGUAAUACGGAGGAUCCAAGCGUUAUCCGGAAUCAUUGGGUUUAAAGGGUCCGUAGGCGGCUUUAUAAGUCAGUGGUGAAAUCCGGCAGCUCAACUGUCGAACUGCCAUUGAUACUGUAGAGCUUGAAUUAUUAUGAAGUAACUAGAAUAUGUAGUGUAGCGGUGAAAUGCUUAGAGAUUACAUGGAAUACCAAUUGCGAAGGCAGGUUACUAAUAAUACAUUGACGCUGAUGGACGAAAGCGUGGGUAGCGAA
rnacentral:rRNA from 1 species